GGGCACGAUGGCGGGAGCCCUGGGGAGAGUUCUCUUUUCUUGUUAACAGCUUCUUCCCCUGGAAUCGGUUCGCCCGGAGAUAGGGGUGUAUAGCUGGAAUAGCUGUCACGCUUAGUGACGGUCCGGAACGCUCUCGACGGCCCUUGAAAACCCCAGCGAGGUACCUAGUGUCGGUCUUACCCCAGGGCGUACUCAUAACCGCAUCAGGUCUCCAAGG
rnacentral:rRNA from 1 species